GACGAACGCUGGCGGCGUGCUUAACACAUGCAAGUCGAACGGUAAGGCCCCAGCUUGCUGGGGUACACGAGUGGCGAACGGGUGAGUAACACGUGGGUGACCUGCCCCGCACUUCGGGAUAAGCCUGGGAAACUGGGUCUAAUACCGGAUAGGACCGCACCGUGAGGGUGGGGUGGAAAGUGUUUCGGUGUGGGAUGGGCCCGCGGCCUAUCAGCUUGUUGGUGGGGUAAUGGCCUACCAAGGCGGCGACGGGUAGCCGGCCUGAGAGGGUGGACGGCCACAUUGGGACUGAGACACGGCCCAGACUCCUACGGGAGGCAGCAGUGGGGAAUAUUGCACAAUGGGCGGAAGCCUGAUGCAGCGACGCCGCGUGGGGGAUGACGGCCUUCGGGUUGUAAACUCCUUUCACCAUCGACGAAGGUUUUCUGACGGUAGAUGGAGAAGAAGCACCGGCUAACUACGUG
rnacentral:rRNA from 1 species